rnacentral:misc_RNA from 1 species
ACACAUGGCUCACUGUGAAGGACAUUAGGCCACAUCGUUGGGAAAUUGGACGGGAGAGCCGCCAGACCUUGUGGCAGAGCCAUCCCAGAGACCUCUUUAGCCGUUCGCUGCCUGGCCUUCUUCUCGCUAUAUAGAGAGCAUCUGGUUGGUGGGUUGGAUUACUUUAAAAGUCUAAUGGAAAUUUUAAAUAUUCUAUAUCUAUCUUUUUCUGAAUGAUGUUUAGUUUGACUAUUGGUAAGCAGA